rnacentral:rRNA from 1 species
GGGCCAGUAGGUUGGUCGUGCCACCGGUACGUACUGGUCUCACUGAUUCCUCCUUCCUGAAGAACCGUAAUGCCAUUAAUUUGGUGUUGCGGGGAAACAGGACUGUUACUUUGAAAAAAUUAGAGUGUUUAAAGCAAGCUAACGCUUGAAUACAUUAGCAUGGAAUAAUGAAGUAGGACGAUCGAUCCUAUUUUGUUGGUUUCUAGGAUUGACGCA